rnacentral:lncRNA from 1 species
AACCCACAUACGAGAAUGCAUGCAGCCCAGCUGUCCAGGAUGCUCCACCGUCAAAAGAUAGUUGUAGAGCAAUGAGCAGCCCUGGCUUUUUCGCCUCGACAAAGCUUUGGGAGGCUAGAAGCCUGGGAGGCCGGGACACUCAUUGCAACGCUUUGAGGCCAUUGUUGAGCGAAUGCAAAGCCGAAGGAAUUUUCACGGCAUUUGGCCUUUGGAGGAGGCACCCAGCUGUAGCUUUUCCCGACUUUCUGAAGAUUCUCCUCAGUUACGGACAGUAAGAGAUGUCUGCCGCAGGAUGUAAGCAGACAAUUUAUUCCCCCUCGAUCGCUAACUCGCCGCAUAACUAAUGACAGCGCCAAACCAGAUCUUUUAUUAGGAUCAACACUGAAGACUUCAGAAAACUCAAAACAACCAGCUGCCAGACUAGGAGAUCUUAUCCGGGCCGGAUGCGCGCCGGACUUGAGACCUAACGGAUUAACCUGCUCGAGGCCCUGUUUAUCUUAUCUUAUAUAUCCGUCUUCCAGUAAAAAGAUACUGUGGAACGAAGGCGCGACAUCUAACACGGAGUCUUGCUCCCCGGGCAGCAUUUCGGCCAUGCACGAUGGAUGCGUCGGAGUUCGUUUAGCCAACCAGACGAAGUGAUUUUCCUAUCUUCCUUCUCAUCCUUUCUUCAAGGAAUUGAACUUUCUGUUCUCAAGGAACGACAUCGUCGACAUGAAAUGCAGGGAGCCAGGACCAUGGUAACAUUUAAUAUUCGGCAGUGUCAAAAAAGCGGAAUUGCUAGGAAACAGUCGCCUGAGAAUUUGUAAUUCUCAGUCGACAGCGUGGUCCGUCGGAUCCGCGUCGUGAUUCGUGCUGGUACUGUGUACAGACAGCUACGUGGUAAAUAAAGUAAUGACCGACAAUGAACAAGAGCACCUGGUUGGUUCAGUGGUUAGCCGUCUUUCUGCCUAGAUCGUGUGUGCGAAGCCCAUUGACCUUUCUUUUCCUUUUUGUUUUUAUUUUUAUUUUUGGUCCCCUUGACUUUCCUUUGUUUGUACUAUUAUUAUUCUUUCUAUUUUCGACUCCUUUAUUAUUUCUGUUUUCUUAUUUAUUUGCUUUUUUAUCUCUUGAUUCCUCUUUUGCUUAUUUUUUGUUUCCCUUCACUUCCUUUGUUUUCAUCGUGGCUUCUAUUCUGCACUAACCGUAAAAUAGCAAUGCUAGCUAAUUUUCAUCCGCAAUUUUUAGAAUCGUGCAUAAAUUUUCACUACAAUUUUUAGGAUCGCACAAAAAAUUCAUCUGCAAUUUUUUAGAAACACGCAUAAACUUUCACCUGCAAUUUUUUAGAAUCGUGCAUAAACUUUCACCUGCAAUUUUUAAUACCACGCAUUAAAUUUACCUGUAAUUUUUAAAAUUGUACAUAAAUUUUACUUGCAAUUUUUUAAAAUUUGAUCGUUGUUAUAGUUUCAGCCUAAGAAAAAUGCAUAUAAAUAUCCAUGCAAAUUUUGAAGUUGCACACAAAAAUGUCAGUACAAUUGUAAAACUUUCACCAACAAUUUUUUAAAAAUUUCAAGUGCAAUUUUUAUAAAUACACUUAAAAUUUCACGUUGGCAGACACACGCACAGAUACACGCGUACGCACAAAUGAACGCACACACUGACUGAACACACAGCGGACACACACAC